rnacentral:rRNA from 1 species
UCACGAAACUACAAAGGAAUUGACGGGGCCCGCACAAGCGGUGGAGUAUGUGGUUUAAUUCGAUGCAACGCGAAGAACCUUACCUGGUCUUGACAUCCCGGAGACCCUUAGGAAACUAGGGGUGCUUCCAUCUGGAAGAAUCUGGAGACAGGUGCUGCAUGGCUGUCGUCAGCUCGUGUCGUGAGAUGUUGGGUUAAGUCCCGCAACGAGCGCAACCCUUGCCUUUAGUUGCCAGCAGUUCGGCUGGGCACUCUAAAGGGACUGCCGGUGUUAAACCGGAGGAAGGUGGGGAUGACGUCAAGUCCUCAUGGCCUUUAUGACCAGGGCUACACACGUACUACAAUGGCCGAUACAAAGGGCAGCGACACUGCGAGGUGAAGCCAAUCCCGUAAAAUCGGUCUCAGUCCGGAUUGGAGUCUGCAACUCGACUCCAUGAAGUUGGAAUCGCUAGUAAUCGUGGAUCAGCAUGCCACGGUGAAUACGUUCCCGGGCCUU